rfam:Oryza glumipatula chromosome 7, whole genome shotgun sequence.
AUACCUUUCUCGGCCUUUUGGCUAAGAUCAAGUGUAGUAUCUGUUCUUAUCAGUUUAAUAUCUGAUAUGUGGGCCAUGUGCCCACUUCGAUAUUAAAUUUAUUUUUUGUGGGGGAGGGCCCACCACAGUGGCUUGCCACUGGGGCCCUCGCGCGUCGCCCAGGCGUUGCACUGCUGCCCGGGCCUGGCGCACCCCAA